GGAGGAUGCUGCGAGGCGUUGCCAGCGGAGGGAACCUGCCGCCGCCUCGUCCCCCUCCACCCUCGGAGCCCGGCCGGGGAGUCGGGCCCGGGCCGGGGAGGAGGAAGUUGCGGCCCAGCUGGGACAGCAGCAGGUGGGAAGCUCCGCGCCCGGCUGUUGCGGCUGCCUGAUUGCAGCCUGGCCUUGGGCAAAGCUUCCUACUCCGUCUGGAGCCCCACACACUUCCCGGUUCCCCCGCUCUUGGGCCGCUUGCCCUGCGUGCUCCUCGAGGGGCCUGCGAGGUGCCAGCGCCGGGUAGAGACCUUUGCCGCAGGGGCAGGAUUGUUCGUCGGUCCCGGCGCGUCUCCCUCUCCACUCCCUCUCUGCCGGAGCCCCUCGGCCCUUCGAAGCCCCCCGCGGAGGCUGCAGCGCCCGGAGAAGCCACUGAGUCAAUGGGGCGAGGGACUGGGGCGGGCGCGCAGAGCCCCCAGGAUUGAGACGCGCGCAAGUGCGGCCACUGCAGCGCCGCUUGGCUGUUUGUUCUCCCGACUGUUCGCGAAUUACUUACAAGGCGCCUAGGCUUCUCCGAAGGGUGGACGGCUCGUUCCCUCUCGCCUUGUCCGCCCUCAGUCUCUCCACCACCGCCCGGCACGCUUUGCUGAUCUAAAAUCAGAACAAUUAGAGAGUAAUGAUUUUUUUUGGAAUAGCAACUCCUACAGACACUCAGAUCUGCCCUCGCUUCAGCGCCUCCCAGCCCUCCUUCCCAGCAGCCAGGCGAGAGCGCGCAGACCCCUAAAAAGCAACUUCAGUGUUAACCGGGUCUGGAUCCUGGAACUUUAUAAACUAAUCCGUGUGUGUGUGUGUGUGUGUGUGUGUAAACCGAAGAGUAAGUGCCUAUUAUUUCUGAGUACUUCGGUGUCCUAACGAAGCUUUGCUCCUAAAGGACAGGAUAUAUUUUAGGAGUCUUUCUUUCCACUGAGUUUUUUAAAUGUUUAUUUUCUCGAGCGAUCAAAUGUGUCUUUUGUGCAGUUUAUUUAAACCUCGUAAGGCCUCCUUGAGUCGCUGAACUAAUUCAGCAAACUAGCUGGUAUUGUGGACGGCGCAGUCGGGGUGGAUUUUUGUGUGUAGGAGAGGUGAAACUGACAAUUCAAGGAAAGGUUCUGUGCGAGUCCCCACCUCCCAUCCUCAUAUCCACACGUGGCCCCUAGGAGGUGCUGGUGAAAUAUGCUUGCUUAGGUUUCGCAGAUCCGCACUUACUCCUGCCUUAACAAGUGUGCCUUUUUUCUUAGCACUGAGCAAGGUACUUAAAUUAAAAGGGUGUGCAAGAGAUGAUGCACUCGGUGUGGCUGCUCUGAUAGCCAAAUGGCGAUGUGGUCCCAGUUAAUGUGUUGAGAUUAUACUGUUCACCAAGCCCUGUUACGAACUCUGUUGCCAUGCACGUGGGAAUAAUGCCUGCCCCAAGGGAGGUCUUCUUUAACAUCUAUUUAGUCAUGUGUUAUUUAUAAACAGCUUGAAUUAAUACUGUAAAAUAGACGGAUGUCUAAGAAUCUAGGCUGUAGCCUAAAGCUAAAUGAACCUGAGGGUAGACAAGUUCACUCUGUAUUAACCAAAGGAUAAUGAAUGAGUUCACCGCUCAGUUCAAUAAGCUUCUUCUGAAAUAUGCUUCCUCCUGGACUUCUAAGAAACAGGCCAAAAGUUUAAUUAUCCCUUAAAACAUGUUAAGCCUAAAUAGAAAAAGGAAAUUAAUCAUUUAUAGAUUUUCUCUUCUUUAUUAUGAUUCAGUUGGUGCAUCUGUAGAUGGCUAAGAAUUUUCCAAACCACGUGAAUUCAGAGAGGCAACACUUUUGUUGUUGUUGUUUUUCCAGGUAAUGAGCUCGCUUUGAAAACCAGUCACUCGGAAAGGGAUGGCAUUUUUAUGCAACUUGGAUUGAAAUGGUUUUGCUUUAGUAUUCUACUCUAAUUAGAAAGAAUACACCACAGGCCGAAAUAGUUUCAUAUGAUAGGAAAAUCUUUAAAGAAAGGAACACAGAGUUAUUAGAUUAUGGUUGGCUGUAUAAAUUUAGCUGGGCAGCGGGAGGAAGGUCAUAAUAAAUGUAUCCUGCUCUCUCUCAUCAAUUAUCAGCAGCACAUCCCCCAACAUUCUCUCCUCCCAAAGACUGAAGGAUGUGCAGCAAAGCUUAGAUCUUGAAGGAGAAGGUUCGGGAAAAAUUAAUGAUUUUAAUUAGAACUUUCCAAUCUAAGUAGAAUCAUUACCUUAAUUAGCUAAAUAAGGAAGUAUGAAGGAUGAAAUUUUGCAAAUGAAAUUUUGUAAAUGUAUGGUAGCGUAGAAUACCCCCAUUGCUUCAUUUUAAAAAAAGAAAAUAUAAAUGCAUUUUAAUUAAUAAAUGACUUUUCAUCAUGUCCCUAUUAGGAAAAUUCUGUGUGCCAAUGCUUUCAGUGUUUGAUUUAAUACAUCUUUUGAAGUG
ensembl:lncRNA KCNJ2-AS1 KCNJ2 antisense RNA 1